rnacentral:rRNA from 1 species
UACAGAGGGUGCAAACGUUGUUCGGAAUUACUGGGCGUAAAGCGCGCGUAGUCGGUUAUUUAAGUCGGAUGUGAAAUCCCCGGGCUUAACCUGGGAAUGGCAUUUGGGACUGCAAGGCUCGAGUGCGGCAGAGGAGACUGGAAUUCCUGGUGUAGCAGUGAAAUGCGUAGAUAUCAGGAGGAACACCGAUGGCGAAGGCAGGUCUCUGGGCUGACACUGACGCUCAUGCACGAAAGCGUGGGGAGCAAACAGG